rnacentral:rRNA from 1 species
GCCGAAGCAACGUAUAGAAACUUUCACAAUGUUUAGGAGUUUUGCAACUCUGUAAUGUUCCUGAACCUGCGGAGGGAUCAUUACAGAGUUGCAAAACUCCCUAAACCAUUGUGAACGUUACCUAUACCGUUGCUUCGGCGGGCGGCCCCGGGGUUUACCCCCCGGGCGCCCCUGGGCCCCACCGCGGGCGCCCGCCGGAGGUCACCAAACUCUUGAUAAUUUAUGGCCUCUCUGAGUCUUCUGUACUGAAUAAGUCAAAACUUUCAACAACGGAUCUCUUGGUUCUGGCAUCGAUGAAGAACGCAGCGAAAUGCGAUAAGUAAUGUGAAUUGCAGAAUUCAGUGAAUCAUCGAAUCUUUGAACGCACAUUGCGCCCGCCAGCAUUCUGGCGGGCAUGCCUGUUCGAGCGUCAUUUCAACCAUCAAGCCCCCGGGCUUGUGUUGGGGACCUGCGGCUGCCGCAGGCCCUGAAAAGCAGUGGCGGGCUCGCUGUCGCACCGAGCGUAGUAGCAUACAUCUCGCUCUGGUCGCGCCGCGGGUUCCGGCCGUUAAACCACCUUUUAACCCAAGGUUGACCUCGGAUC